CUCGCGCACGGGAACUCUGGUCCGUGGACCAGAUCGCUACUAGUCCAACCGAGCCAGGGAUCAGAUAGGUGUGCGGAGACGGAAGUGGAGGGCUGAGCCGUUUGUCCCUCUCCCCCCACCUCUGUCUCCGUUCUGAGUAGGUCCUUGCGGCAGCGCUCGUUCUGCCACGGCGAGCACGGGCAAAUGGAAGACGGUGGGGUUGAGUUCCUGCUUGAGGCCAUUGACAGGUUCCCAUUACGAGAGGAGUUCGCGGACAACCUCGAGCACCCAGAUCCGGUUCCCCCGGUCUUGUUGCCAAACAGCGGAGCCGGCCUUGCCGUUCCCGCGGACUCAAAUACUGGAUCUGGUUGCGCUCAACAGCUCGGCGGCGAUGGGAAUGAUAUGGCAGGAGUUCGAGUUCGCCGUCUCGCGGAUGCAUCACCGACGAGGUCGGCCCAGUCUACUGACAGAGUCAAUCCAGAGGCACCUGGGAGGACAAAAAAGGUUAUGGUUGGGCAGUGAGCCACCAGAUGACGAUGGACUCAAAAGUCAUGGGCUAUAGAGUUGAUUGGCUAAAGAAGUUCAUGUUCCUGGUGCAUUUCAUGGAUUGCUGGUCAUUAUAUAUCCUGGAUACCGAGAAGAUUAUGAUGGUGCUUGACCCAACGGAGACAGAUCCAUUGGAUGAGAUGAAAAUCAAACAUUUGGAUGAGAUGAAAAUGAAACAUGGGCCGCUAGCAAGGAAGUUUCAGCAGAAGUUAUGCACCCUAUUCAGUAUUCAGUGACAUGUUCGGAGCCGGUUUGGUUGAGACCACUGGAUGGUCGUUUGUGUACCCUUUGGUGGCGCAGCACGAGCCAUGCAUUAGGCGUGUGGAAGACAGUGGCGUAUAUGUCGCUCACUACGUCCUGGAGUUCACCAGUCUAUACCUUCGAUCAACUAUAACCCAGGUCAGAUCGAGCACCUACACAAGAAGAUUGCAUACGAGAUAGUGACCAUGAAGGGGAACAAGGGAGAUACCCCGGAGUUCCUGUCCGAGGAGAUCAUUGACUGACGAGAAAGACAUUAGCAUUCCAGUCUGCAUGCAAUUUUGGCUGUGCGUGUACUUAUCGUUAGAUGGGCAUGUUUAAGUUUUAGUGUUAUUUUGCAUCAGAAAACCCUACGAGCAUUGUGCAUAUGGAAAGCUUUGGGCAUGGGAUUCCUAAUGGAGAUCUAAUUAGAGUAAUUUGAACUACAUACGUGUUAGAGAUUAUGUGAACAUAUGACGAUCUGUCUGAAUUUAAAUAUGCUGCAA